GAUGAACGCUGGCGGCGUGCCUAAUACAUGCAAGUCGAGCGAACGGACGAGAAGCUUGCUUCUCUGAUGUUAGCGGCGGACGGGUGAGUAACACGUGGAUAACCUACCUAUAAGACUGGGAUAACUUCGGGAAACCGGAGCUAAUACCGGAUGAUAUUUUGAACCGCAUGGUUCAAAAGUGAAAGACGGUCUUGCUGUCACUUAUAGGUGGAUCCGCGCUGCAUUAGCUAGUUGGUAAGGUAACGGCUUACCAAGGAAACGAUGCAUAGCCGACCUGAGAGGGUGAUCGGCCACACUGGAGCUGGGACGCCGUCCAGACUCCUACGGGAGGCAGCAGUAGGGAAUCUGCCGCAAUGGGCGAAAGCCUGACGGAGCAACGCCGCGUGAGUGAUGAAGGUCUUCGGAUCGUAAAACUCUGUUAUUAGGGAAGAACAUAUGUGUAAGUAACUGUGCACAUCUUGACGGUACCGAGUCAGAAAGCCACGGCUAACUACGUG
rnacentral:rRNA from 1 species